rnacentral:tmRNA from 1 species
GGGGGUGAUAAGGAUUCGACAGGGAUGAGAAAAUCAGAAUUGCACACCAAGGUCCGGAUACCUUGUAAAACUAUCCGGAAAAAAAUAAGCGCCGACGAAAGUUUGGCUUUAGCUGCUUAAAAGCGGCUAUCACCUGGUUACUUUUGCCCUGUGAGGUGACUAAGGUGUCAGAAAAACAGGGCUGACCUUGCUCUUUGCAAAGGAGAGCAGGGCGAGGAACUUAAUCUUUGCUGGCCUGCGUUCUAUCCCGCUUGCCGGAGAGAAAGCAGGCGAGAAUUAAAAAGGCAAGCUAAGUGUGUAGAUAUUCUGGUUUCCUUAUCUCUGGACGAGGGUUCGAUUCCCUCCACCUCCACCA